GACGAACGCUGGCGGCGUGCUUAACACAUGCAAGUCGAACGGAAAGGCCCUGCUUUUGUGGGGUGCUCGAGUGGCGAACGGGUGAGUAACACGUGAGUAACCUGCCCUUGACUUUGGGAUAACUUCAGGAAACUGGGGCUAAUACCGGAUAGGAGCUCCUGCUGCAUGGUGGGGGUUGGAAAGUUUCGGCGGUUGGGGAUGGACUCGCGGCUUAUCAGCUUGUUGGUGGGGUAGUGGCUUACCAAGGCUUUGACGGGUAGCCGGCCUGAGAGGGUGACCGGCCACAUUGGGACUGAGAUACGGCCCAGACUCCUACGGGAGGCAGCAGUGGGGAAUAGUGCACAAUGGGCGGAAGCCUGAUGAAGCAACGCCGCGUGCGGGAUGACGGCCUUCGGGUUGUAAACCGCUUUCGCCUGUGACGAAGCGUGAGUGACGGUAAUGGGUAAAGAAGCACCGGCUAACUACGUG
rnacentral:rRNA from 1 species